UACGUAGGCAGCGAGCGUUGUUCGGAAUUACUGGGCGUAAAGAGUGUGUAGGCGGUGCUCUAAGUUCGGUGUGAAAUCUCCCGGCUUAACUGGGAGGGUGCGCCGGAAACUGGAGUGCUCGAGCGUGGGAGAGGAAAGCGGAAUUCCUGGUGUAGCGGUGAAAUGUGUAGAUAUCAGGAGGAACACCUGCGGUGUAGACGGCUUUCUGGACCAUUGCUGACGCUGAGACACGAAAGCGUGGGUAGCAAACAGG
rnacentral:rRNA from 1 species